AUUGAACGCUGGCGGCAUGCUUUACACAUGCAAGUCGAACGGUAACAGGCCUUCGGGUGCUGACGAGUGGCGAACGGGUGCGUAACGCAUCGGAACGUACCCAGAGGUGGGGGAUAACGCAGCGAAAGCUGUGCUAAUACCGCAUGUGAUCUGAGGAUGAAAGCGGGGGACCGAGCAGCAAUGUUUGGCCUCGCGCCUUUGGAGCGGCCGAUGUCGGAUUAGCUAGUUGGUGGGGUAAAGGCCUACCAAGGCGACGAUCCGUAGCUGGUCUGAGAGGACGACCAGCCACACUGGGACUGAGACACGGCCCAGACUCCUACGGGAGGCAGCAGUGGGGAAUUUUGGACAAUGGGCGCAAGCCUGAUCCAGCAAUGCCGCGUGCGGGAAGAAGGCCUUCGGGUUGUAAACCGCUUUUGGCAGGAACGAAACGGUGUCCGCUAAUACCGGGCGCUAAUGACGGUACCUGCAGAAUAAGCACCGGCUAACUACGUG
rnacentral:rRNA from 1 species